rnacentral:tRNA from 1 species
UCCCUGGUAGCUCAAUCGGCAGAGCGGGUGGCUGUUAACCACUAGGUUGGCGGUUCAAGUCCGUCCCAGGGAGCCA